rnacentral:rRNA from 1 species
AAAUGAAUAGACGGGGGCCCGCACAAGCGGUGGAGCAUGUGGUUUAAUUCGAUGCAACGCGAAGAACCUUACCUAGGCUUGACAUGAACUGGAAGAGUGGCGGAAACGUCCUCGCUCGCAAGAGUCGGUUCACAGGUGCUGCAUGGCUGUCGUCAGCUCGUGUCGUGAGAUGUUGGGUUAAGUCCCGCAACGAGCGCAACCCUUGCCUUUAGUUGCCAGCAUUUAGUUGGGCACUCUAAAGGGACUGCCGACGUUAAGUCGGAGGAAGGUGGGGAUGACGUCAAGUCCUCAUGGCCCUUAUGUCUAGGGCUACACACGUGCUACAAUGGUGAUCACAGAGGGAAGCCAAGUCGCAAGACGGAGCCAAUCCCGAAAAAGUCAUCUAAGUUCAGAUUGCAGUCUGCAACUCGACUGCAUGAAGUUGGAAUCGCUAGUAAUCGCGGAUCAGAACGCCGCGGUGAAUACGUUCCCGGGCCUUGUACACACCGCCCGU